rnacentral:rRNA from 1 species
AGUGAACGCUGGCGGUAGGCCUAACACAUGCGAGUCGAACGGCAGCACAGUAAGAGCUUGCUCUUACGGGUGGCGAGUGGCGGACGGGUGAGGAAUACAUCGGAAUCUACUUUUUCGUGGGGGAUAACGUAGGGAAACUUACGCUAAUACCGCAUACGACCUACGGGUGAAAGCAGGGGAUCUUCGGACCUUGCGCGAUUGAAUGAGCCGAUGUCGGAUUAGCUAGUUGGCGGGGUAAAGGCCCUCCAAGGCGACGAUCCGUAGCUGGUCUGAGAGGAUGAUCAGCCACACUGGAACUGAGACACGGUCCAGACUCCUACGGGAGGCAGCAGUGGGGAAUAUUGGACAAUGGGCGCAAGCCUGAUCCAGCCAUACCGCGUGGGUGAAGAAGGCCUUCGGGUUGUAAAGCCCUUUUGUUGGGAAAGAAAAGCAGCAGGUUAAUACCCCGCUGUUCUGACGGUACCCAAAGAAUAAGCACCGGCCAACUUCGUG